AUGGAAAAUCAGUGCGGUGUGGGGUACCUGACCUUCCCCCAGCCAUGCUGACACUGUUCAUUCCUCCAGGAACACAGCCCACAUAACUUUGCAUGCACAGUCUCCAGGUGCCUGCAUCUCUCCUGGGAAUGUUGCACAUCAUCUCACACACUGCAACCAGGUCUCCAGCAUUGCUGGGAAACCGCCCAGCAGGGCCAGGACGGCUGGUGACAGACCCGAGCCAUGGGCAGAAAAAUUGCAGCUGGGAUGGGCACCCACCUCUCUGGGGACAAUGUGGUGCCUCGGCGGGUCCCCAGAUCUGCCCUGGGACCUAAGUGGAGAUAUCAACACCUGCCUGGAGAAACAGAGGGAGCAGCCUUGUUCCCAAAGGGGAGCAGAGCACAGGAGAGAUGCCCAACAACCAUGCAAAAGAAAAUAAAUCUUAAAAAAAGGUGAGUAGAGACACAGAAUGUUGCUCUGCGCCUUAUCGAUCUAUCUGGCAUUCCUGAGAGCAUCCUGACAUCCCAGACUCAUCACAGUCAAUUUUAACAAGGAGUGUUAUUUCUUUGGGGGCUCAUCACCUUGGGAAUGGGAAUCACUGUAAACAACACAAAUUGUGAAUUACCUUAAUUUCCCUAAAAUGCCCUUUCUGCUACCUGAUGGUGGAGUUAAGCCAUGUUCCAAUAGCUCAAGAUUUCCUGACAUAACUGUUCAAUUUAUAGGGCCGAUUUUAUAUUUAUGUGAUUUACAUGUAUAUAUACUGACACAUAUUUACAUUAGCAAUUUGCCAUUUAUAAGUUUAUAUUCCAGCAAUCUCCAUGGUUCCUAAAACUGGAAUCACAUUUUUUUUUUGUAAUCAAGUUAAAUUCAGAUUAUUUCUAUUGUCGGUGACUCCACAUUGUUUUGUAACACUGUUGCUUUCCCAUAAACUACCUAGAAUAAAAUGGAAAAUGAAGGGCAAUGAGGGAUCUCUAUGGAAAUGCUCCUGCCUUGUUGGUCCCCCACUCUCCUGAAGGCAGCAAUUGCAGAUUGUCAAGGGUUGCGUCGCCGUGUGU